AUUGAACGCUGGCGGCAUGCCUUACACAUGCAAGUCGAACGGUAACAGGUCUUCGGAUGCUGACGAGUGGCGAACGGGUGAGAAAUACAUCGGAACGUGCCUAGUCGUGGGGGAUAACUACUCGAAAGAGUGGCUAAUACCGCACGAGAUUUACGGAUGAAAGCAGGGGAUCGCAAGACCUUGUGCUACUAGAGCGGCCGAUGGCAGUUCAGGUAGUUGGUGGACUAAAAGCUUAACAAGCCGACGAUCUGUAGCUGCUCUGUGAGGACGAUCAGACAGACUGGGACUGAGACACGGCCCAGACUCCUACGGGAGGCAGCAGUGGGGAAUUUUGGACAAUGGGCUAACGCCUGAUUCAGCAAUGCCGCGUGCAGGAUGAAGGCCUUCGGGUUGUAAACUGCUUUUGUACGGAACGAAAAGCCCUGGGUUAAUACCCUGGGGUCAUGACGGUACCGUAAGAAUAAGCACCGGCUAACUACGUGCCAGCCGCCGCAGUAA
rnacentral:rRNA from 1 species